GAGGUGAUUGAAAAUCUCCCCGUGGAGUCCGAGCCAACCUCCAUCGUCUCCAGCUCCAUGGCCGCGGUUUGCAGCCUCAGCAAACUGAAGCCACCACUUGCCCUGGAGCUGGAAUCCUGCCUCCUGCGGGCUGUUCUCCAGGCGUCUUCACCACGGGCACGGGACAGGGCACCACCCACUUCCGGCUCUGCACAAGACCUAUUCGCAGAGCCUGGACACCAUGUUCAGGGGCCUGCUGACAGAGACCCCCACCAUGGACAAGCU